CCCGUAUCUACUAAAAAUACAAAAUUAGCCGGGCGUGGUGGUGGGUGCCUGUAGUCCCAGCUACUUGGGAGGCUGAGACAGGAGAAUCGCUUGAACCCGGGAGGUGGAGGUUGCAGUGAGCCGAGAUCACACCACUGCAUGCCAGCCUGGGCAACAGAAGCGAAACUCCAUCUCAAAAAACAAACAACAACAACAAAAAAAUGGUUUAAUCACUAGCUAAAUUAAAUAUUGAUUUUAUACUUGAGUCCACAAAAGAGUAUUUUUUCGGAAGAUCAGGCUGUACUUUAGUUUAUAUGAAGCAUGGUGAACAGAGACACCACUAAUGCAUAGAUGAAGAUGACUGCCUAAAGACAGAAAGGAAUCUUCACUGGAGAGAGAACAGCCUAUUUGGCCUCACAGUGAUGCACUCAGGAAGCUCAGAAUGUGUCCUGACACUGUCCAUGGCACACAGUAGUAGCACUGUGCACCUAAAGGACAUCCAGGAUGGGACGCUAGGGAAUCACAGGAGCCAAGAAGCAAUAGCCCAACAUUACAAUAUCUGAUACUAUUAUUUGUUCCAAUUAUGGGGCAUACAGGUAAUAAAGGGUUGAGAGGUUCUGAGUGUUCCAUGGUAAAGCACUACUGAGGGAUUUUUCAAGUAUUUUUCAAAAAUGAGUUUUGUCCAAACUUAUAAAUUUUACUAGAAUCGCUUUUUGGGAGUCAGCAGCAUUAUUACAUGAACUAUUGGUGAUAGAGUACAUAGCUAAUGAAGACUUCCUGAGUUAGUUUUCUUUAAGAUAAAAAACUAACUCGGGCAUAACUCAGGCCAGUCAAAUCAAAGUUGAAUUUUUAAAUGUCUAAAGGCUAGGCCAGGCGCGGUGGCUCACUCCUGUAAUCCCAGCACUUUGGGAGACCGAGGUGGGUGGAUCUCAAGGUCAGGAGUUCGAGACCAGCCUGGACAACAUGGUGAAACCACAUCUCUACUAAAAAUAGAAAAAUUAGCUGGGCAUGGUGGCGGAUGCCUGUAAUCCCAGCUCCUCGGGAGGCUGAGGCAGGAGCAUCGCUUGAAUCCGGGAGGCAGAGGUAGCAGUGAGUCGCGAUUGUGCCAUUGCACUCCAGCCUGGGAAACAGAGCAAGACUUCAUCUCAAAAACAAACAAACAAACAAAGGCUAAGUGGUUAUCUCGAAUAAUGUGGUGGAGACAACUACAAGAUGACCAAAUAGGGCCGGGCGCGGUGGCUCACCCAAGCACUUGUUUUUCUUUGGGUAGGAAAACGUCUAUAAAACACAUACACUGUUUGUUUGUUUAUUUAUUUAUGUGAGACUGAGUCUUGCUCUUGUCACCCAGGCUGGAGUGCAGUGGCACAAUCUUGGCUCCCUGCAACCUCCACCUCCUGGGUUUAAGCGAUUCUCCUGCCUCAGCCUCCCAAGUAGCUGGGAUUACAGGCACCCACCACCAGGCCCGGCUACUUUUUGUAUUUUUAGUAGACACAGGGUUUUGCCACAUUGGCCAGGCUGGUCUCGAACUCCCGACCUUGUGAGCCACCUGCCUUGGCCUCUCAAAGUGCUGGGAUUACAGGCGUGAGCCACCACGCCCGACCCAUAGCUCUUCACAACUGCCUUGUAAAGAAAGCAUCAUUUGGCACUGUUAGUAUUUCUCUUGAAUUUUUUUUUUUUUUUUAGACAGAAUCUCGCUCUAUCGGCCAGGCUGGAGUGCGGUGGCACCAUCUUGGCUCACUGCAACCUCCGCCUCCCGGGCUCAAGCAAUUUUCCUGCCUCAGCCUCCCGAGUAGUGGGAUUACAGGCAUGUGCCACCACAGCCUGCUAAUUUUUGUAUUUUUAGUAGAGACGGGUUUUCACCAUGUUGGCCAGGCUGGUCUCGGACUCCUGACCUCAGGUGAUCCGCCCGCCUCGGCCUCCCAAAGUGCUGGGAUCACAGGCAUAAGCCACCGCGCCCGGAUAAAAUCAUUUUUAAGGCUGACCAUUCACACAUAGAAACAAACUCAUAAAAACUGACCUGCCACCUAUAAUGCAUCACCUCAAUUUCAGGAAAUAUUUGAGCAAGCAAUAAAUAAAUUAGAUAAAGCAGGACAUUAACAUUUUAAAAAUAUAGCUAAUUUUAGUUGAAAAUAUAGCUAAUUUCUUUAGUUGAAUUUGGUUCAAAUUGGAUCAAGCGGUAUGAUCUUCUGAGAAAAUCUUCUAGUAUCUCGCUCCAAGUAUCCAGAAGUACCUCAGAAUGUUUCAAAUUAUUAAAAAUACUUCUCAGCUGGUUCUUACCCCCACCUCCUCAAGUACUUCAUUACUUUAUCCAUGAAAUAUCACCAUUCUCACAUUAAGGACAAGAAGUCUGAGACCUACGGUAAUAGCUUCAAUCAUGAAGAGCGAAAGCUGUAAUAACCAUGUAGCUUUGUCUAAGUGUGCAGAGAUCUGAAAGGCCACCAGGUUGGCUCUUUAACAUAAAGCAGCAGAGAGUUUGCCUAAAGGAAUUAACAGAAAUAGGGAAGUAACUUUUAUUUGCAGAUCCUAGGAAGGUAGAUUACAAACAACAGCAAAUCUUAGUGUCUCUAAAUAACACUCUAGGCCAUUUGAAAUAUAAAAAGGUAAUUAUUUUCCUUCAGAAAAUAUCUCCAAAAGCUCACUUUUUUUGAGACGGAGUCUCGCUCUGUCACCCAGGCUGGAGCGUAGUGGCACAAUCUCAGCUCACUGCAACCUCUGCCUCCCGGGUUCAAGCUGUCCUCCCACCUCAGCCUCCUGAGUAGCUGGAACUACCGGCGUGUGCCUCUUGUCCAGCUAAAUUGUUGUAUUUUUAGUAGAGACAGGGUUUCACCAUGUUGGCCAGGCAGGUCUCUCCAACUCCUGACCUCAAGUGACCCACUUGCUUCAGUCUCCCAAAGUGCUGGGAUUAUAGGCGUGAGCCACCAUGCCCAG
rnacentral:lncRNA from 10 species